rnacentral:rRNA from 1 species
CUCCGUCUGRACAGGGGCAUGAAAACCCGCUGAAUUUAAGCAUAUAAGYAGGCGGUGGAAC